AAUUUCUGAUUCAAUUGUGAUUUUUGGAACGAUUUGGGGGAUUUUAACCUAACUAGUUAAUAUACAAAAAUCUGUCUCUAAUUCUGACUAUCUCUCCGGCGAUUGCUCAUUGAUCAUUAGAAUAGAAUUAGAAUGGAUAAGAAGGGCGGAAAACCGCCUCUCCCUCCAAAGCCAGGCUACGUUGCCGAUACGGUGCGCUGUAAUCACUAUAUUAUAAAAAUGAAUGCUGCAUACUUUGUAUCUAUGGUGAAGAAAACGUAUAAGGUGACGGGAGAUUGGUCCGAAAAAUAUAAUAAGAGUCUGGUUCAACUUGUGUUAAUCAAGCUUCGAUCUAGCCUAUCCAACAAGCCCAAACCCGAACCAAAGGUUCCCUGUCUAUCAUUGUAUGCCUUUACUAAUAUCUUUGCGAUGAUGGUCCAGCUCGUUUUCAAGGUGGGGGGCAGCUGGUCCACUGAAUUUAAUGAGGAUCUUAUUCAAUUAGCCUUAUUCAAGCUUCGAUCCGAUAAACCAGUUGCUUUUAGUUAUAAGUAUAACCCAUCCAAAAAGCAAAACCCACUUUCUGAUGAUGCUAUUGCUAGCCCCUCCAAGAAACUCAAGGGUGGAUCAUAGCUUAUUAUGUUUAUAUUGUGACUGGGUAUGUUAUGUUAAAGAGAUAUUCUGUUCUUUAAUGUCAAUAUCAGUUUUUGUA